GCCUUUGUGGUGUAAUGGUCAGCACGUUCGACGCGUAGUCGAGAGGUCCGUGGUUCGAAUCCCGGCGAGGGCA
rnacentral:tRNA from 1 species